GUAGGGUGCGAGCGUUAUCCGGAAUCAUUGGGGCGUAAAGAGCUCGUAGGCGGUUCAGCAAGUCGGCUGUGAAAUUCCGAGGGCUCAACCUCGGAACUGCAGUCGAUACUGCUGUGACUCGAGUCCGGUAGAGGAGAAUGGAAUUCAGGGUGUAGCGGUGAAAUGCGCAGAUAUCCUGAGGAACACCAGUAGCGAAGGCGGUUCUCUGGGCCGGUACUGACGCUGAGGAGCGAAAGCGUGGGUAGCAAACAGGAUUAGAUACCCUGGUAGUCCACGCCGUAAACGUUGGACACUAGGUGUGGCGUUCCGACCAACGGGUGCCGUGCCGAAGCUAACGCAUUAAGUGUCCCGCCUGGGGAGUACGGCCGCAAGGCUA
rnacentral:rRNA from 1 species